AGAGAUGGGAGGAGAGAGAGAGAGAGAUGGGAGGAGAGAGAGAGAGAUGGGAGGAGAGAGAGAGAGAGAUGGGAGGAGAGAGAGAGAGAGAUGGGAGGAGAGAGAGAGAUGGGAGGAGAGAGAGAGAUGGGUUGAAGAGAGAAGAGGGCAUGUUGGUGUACAGAGCGAUAUUGAGAUAAGCAUUCAAAUCACUGAUCAAUAAAAUCUAAUCAAACUAAAUCAGACAUGGAUAACAAUGGGACAUCAUGUUAUUUAUGUUAUCAAGCUAGUGUCUAACUCAGAGUAUGACAAUGUGCGCGUGAAAGUAUUGUUAUGAGUGGAGAGGGCUGUGUGUCAGACUGCAGCUCGGUACAACAGUAGAGAGUUACCAAGUCUCUCUGCUUCACCCACAGACAGAAACUGACGAGGAACAGCAACUUAACAUCACUUCAGCACAAACACACAGAGUGCUGUUAACAACUACUGUGUGUAUAUAUGAGUAAGUAUCGUUAGGAACGAGUCGACAGGGUCGUGUGUAAUUUGGUCAGAUAGUGGAGUGACAUAAAUAGGCUCACCACUCCUCCUGGCUGAAGAGCCAUACUCAUGACCUGCAGUGGUCCGUUUUAUUGUACUACAGUAAUGAAAGGUUAAAGGUUAAAGUAUUAUACUGUAUAUGUAUGUAUGAGUCGUAGUCGUCUAGUCAUGCUGGGUAUUAUAUGACCAGUUCAACUCUGUCUGCUAGAUAUCCCUAAAAGAUUGUUGUUCCAAAUACUUGAUGUGGAAUUAAUCUCGAAACUCUCUAUUUGCUUGUAAACAGUCCCACAACACAGUCAUGAGCCGCAGAAAUCCAAACCCAUGUGGGUUGAAGUGCUGUCUCUAUUCAAACCCAUGUGGGUUGAAGUGCUGUCUCUAUCCAAACCCAUGUGGGUUGAAGUGCUGUCUCUAUCCAAACCCAUGUGGGUUGAAGUGCUGUCUCUAUUCAAACCCAUGUGGGUUGAAGUGCUGUCUCUAUCCAAACCCAUGUGGGUUGAAGUGCUGUCUCUAUCCAAACCCAUGUGGGUUGAAGUGCUGUCUCUAUCCAAACCCAUGUGGGUUGAAGUGCUGUCUCUAUCCAAACCUAUGUGGGUUGAAGUGCUGUCUCUAUUCAGAUGUUACGGUUGUUCUGGCAACUGUGCGCUCUCCGGGGGUUAUUUCCAUUCUACUACGGUAGUUUGGCCUGCAAUUGGACUACUUAGCAGCCAGACCUUUUCUGUUUGUGUCAACUACAGCCCUGUAGAGGUUAGUCCCUGCUAUCUCUCUGUAGUCUCCUACUAA
rnacentral:lncRNA from 13 species